rnacentral:rRNA from 1 species
CCAGACUCCUACGGGAGGCAGCAGUGGGGAAUAUUGCACAAUGGGCGCAAGCCUGAUGCAGCGACGCCGCGUGAGCGAAGAAGUAUUUCGGUAUGUAAAGCUCUAUCAGCAGGGAAGAAAAUGACGGUACCUGACUAAGAAGCUCCGGCUAAAUACGUGCCAGCAGCCGCGGUAAUACGGAGGAUGCGAGCGUUAUCCGGAUUUAUUGGGUUUAAAGGGUGCGUAGGCGGAAUGCCAAGUCAGCGGUAAAAUCGCGGGGCUCAACCUCGCUCCGCCGUUGAAACUGGCGUUCUUGAGUGGGCGAGAAGUAUGCGGAAUGCGUGGUGUAGCGGUGAAAUGCAUAGAUAUCACGCAGAACUCCGAUUGCGAAGGCAGCAUACCGGCGCCCAACUGACGCUGAAGCACGAAAGCGUGGGUAUCGAACAGGAUUAGAUACCCUAGUA